CAGGAUUAGAUACCCUGGUAGUCCACGCCGUAAACGAUGAGUGCUAAGUGUUGGAGGGUUUCCGCCCUUCAUUGCUGCACCUAACGCAUUAAUCACUCCGCCUGGGGAGUACGACCGCAAGGUUGAAACUCAAAGGAAUUGACGGGGGCCCGCACAAGCGGUGGAGCAUGUGGUUUAAUUCGAAGCAACGCGAAAAACCUUACCAGGUCUUGACAUCCUUUGACCACUCUAGAGAUAGAGCUUCCCCUUCGGGGGCAAAGUGACAGGUGGUGCAUGGUUGUCGUCAGCUCGUGUCGUGAGAUGUUGGGUUAAGUCCCGCAACGAGCGCAACCCUUGAUCUUAGUUGCCAGCAUUCAGUUGGGCACUCUAAGGUGACUGCCGGUGACAAACCGGAGGAAGGUGGGGAUGACGUCAAAUCAUCAUGCCCCUUAUGACCUGGGCUACACACGUGCUACAAUGGAUGGUACAAAGGGCUGCAAGACCGCGAGGUCAAGCCAAUCCCAUAAAACCAUUCUCAGUUCGGAAUGUAUGCUGCAACUCGCCUACAUGAAACUGGAAUCCCUAGUAAUCGCGGAUCAGCAUGGCCCGGUGAAUACGUUC
rnacentral:rRNA from 1 species